rnacentral:rRNA from 1 species
UACGUAGGUGGCGAGCGUUAUCCGGAAUUACUGGGUGUAAAGGGUGUGUAGGCGGACAAACAAGUCAGAUGUGAAAAUCCGAGGCUCAACCUCGGACCUGCAUUUGAAACUGUAUGCCUUGAGAGCAGGAGAGGUAAGCGGAAUUCCCAGUGUAGCGGUGAAAUGCGUGGAUAUUGGGAGGAACACCAGUGGCGAAGGCGGCUUACUGGACUGCAACUGACGCUGAGACACGAAAGCGUGGGGAGCAAAC